UCUUAUGCACAUGCCUACAAUGUUAAUGCAGUGGAUCCCAUUAGAACUAUAAAAUUAAGCGUGCUUGGGCUAGAUUAUUAUUGGGAUGGGUGACCUCCCAUGAAUUCCUAGUGUUUUACAUGCC
rnacentral:rRNA from 1 species